UACGAAGGGGGCUAGCGUUGCUCGGAAUCACUGGGCGUAAAGGAUGCGUAGGCGGACAUUUAAGUCAGAUGUGAAAUACCCGAGCUUAACUUGGGUGCUGCAUUUGAAACUGGGUGUCUAGAGUGCAGGAGAGGUAAGUGGAAUUCCUAGUGUAGCGGUGAAAUGCGUAGAGAUUAGGAAGAACACCAGUGGCGAAGGCGACUUACUGGACUGUAACUGACGCUGAGGUGCGAAAGCGUGGGGAGCAAACAGG
rnacentral:rRNA from 1 species